rfam:Cajanus cajan Scaffold000388_35, whole genome shotgun sequence.
AUUUGGUGAUGAGUACAAGUGGAACACAACUUGUUGAAUCUCUCCCAAUAGUCAUACAAAGUCUCACCAUUUUGCUGCCGUAUUUCACAAAUCUUUUUUCUAAUU